rnacentral:rRNA from 1 species
AUACGUAGGGGACAAGCGUUAUCCGGCUUUACUGGGCGGAAAGGGCGUGUAGGCGGUCUUGCAAGUCAGAAGUGAAAUUCCUGAGCUCAGCUCGGGCGCUGCUUCUGAAACUUCAGGACUUGAGUGCUGGAGGGGAUAGCGGACUUCCUAGUGGAGCGGUUAAAUGCGCAGAUAUUAGGAAGAACACCGGUGGCGAAGGCGGCUUACUGGACGAUCACUGACGUUGAGGCUCGAAAGCGUGGGGAGCAAACAGGAUUAGAUACCCUGGUAGUCCACGCGGUAAACGAUGAAUACCAGGUGUCGGGGGGCGAAGCUCUUCGGUGCCGAAAGCGAACGCAGUAAGUAUUCCACCUGGGGAGUACGUUCGCAAGAAUGAAACUCAAAGGAAUUGACGGGG